GGACCUGACUGCUAUCGGAUUGAUACUAAGCCAUGCGAGUCUUUGUAGUAAUACAAGGCAUACGGCUCAGUAACGCGUAGUCAACCUACCCUAUGGACAAGAAUAAUCUCGGGAAACUGAGCAUAAUUCUUGAUAGAUCAUAAUGCCUGGAAUGGUUUAUGGUUAAAAUGAUUCGUCGCCAUAGGAUGGGACUGCGGCCUAUCAGCUUGUUGGUGAGGUAAUGGCCCACCAAGGCGAUUACAGGUACGGGCUCUGAGAGGAGAAGCCCGGAGAUGGGUACUGAGACAAGGACCCAGGCCCUAUGGGGCGCAGCAGGCGAGAAAACUUUGCAAUGUGCGAAAGCACGACAAGGUUAGUCCGAGUGAUUUCUGCUAAAGAGAUCUUUUGCUAGUUAUAAAACCACUAGUGAAUAAGGGGUGGGCAAGUUCUGGUGU
rnacentral:rRNA from 1 species